UUACGGCCAUAUCAUGGUGAAACACCGAUUCUCGUACGAUCACCGAAGUUAAGUAACGUUGAGCCUGGUCAGUACGUAGCUGGGUGACCGCUUGGGAAUAUCUUG
rnacentral:rRNA from 1 species